UAAGGAAUAUUGGGCAAUGGGCGCGAGCCUGACCCAGCCAUGCCGCGUGCAGGAAGACGGCCUUAUGGGUUGUAAACUGCUUUUGUCAGGGGAUAAACCUAUCUGCGAGUAGAUAGCUGAAGGUACCUGAAGAAUAAGCAUCGGCUAACUCCGUGCCAGCAGCCGCGGUAAUACGGAGGAUGCGAGCGUUAUCCGGAUUCACUGGGUUUAAAGGGUGCGCAGGCGGGGCAUUAAGUCAGUGGUGAAAUAAGACGGCUCAACUGUCUGGCUGCCAUUGAUACUGAUGUUCGAGAGUGUAAUUGGAGUGGGCGGAAUGUGUCAUGUAGCGGUGAAAUGCUUAGAUAUGACACAGAACACCGAUCGCGAAGGCAGCUCACUAAGUUAAUACUGACGCUCAUGCACGAAAGCGUGGGGAUCAAACAG
rnacentral:rRNA from 1 species